UGUUGAUGAUGAUGAUGGUGAUGUUGUUGAUGAUGAUGAUGGUGAUGAUUUCUACCAUUAUUGUUAUUAUCAAUCACUAAGAACUUUG
rnacentral:miRNA from 1 species